CCUACGGGUGGCAGCAGUAGGGAAUCUUUCACAAUGGGCGAAAGCCUGAUGGAGCAACGCCGCGUGCGGGAUGAGGCAUUCGGGUUGUAAACUGCUUUUAUAAGGGGGAGAUAUGAUGGUAACUUAUGAAAAAGGACCGGCUAACUACGUGCCAGGAGCCGCGGUCAUACGUAGGAGCCGAGAAGUAUCCGGAGUGACUGGGUGUAAAGAGUUGCGUAGGUGGCAUAAUAAGUAGCUAGUGAAAGCUGGUGGCUCAACCAUUCAGACUAUUCGCUAAACUGUUAAGCUCGAGACCGUGAGGGGUAACUGGAAUUUCUAGUGUAGGAGUGAAAUCCGUAGAUAUUAGAAAGAACACCGAUGGCGUAGGCAGGUUACUGGGACGGUUCUGACACUAAGGCACGAAAGCGUAGGGAGCAAACGGGAUUAGAUACCCCUGUAGUC
rnacentral:rRNA from 1 species